rnacentral:rRNA from 1 species
GAAUCUUGGACAAUGGGGGCAACCCUGAUCCCGCCAUCCCGCGUGUGCGAUGAAGGCCCUCGGGUUGUAAAGCACUUUUGGCAGGGAAGAAAAGGCUCUGGCUAAUACCUGGAGCUGCUGCCGUUACCUGCCGAAUAAGCACCGGCUACCUACGUUCCAGCAGCCGCGGUAACACGUAGGGUGCAAGCGUUAAUAGGAAUUACUGGGCGUAAAGCGGGAGCAGGCGGUUCGGCAAGAAGGAUGUGAAAUCCCAGGGCUUAACCUUGGAACUGCAUUCUUAACUGCCGGGCUAGAGUAAGUCAGAGGGGGGUAGAAUUCCGCGUGUAGCAGUGAAAUGCGUAGAGAUGCGGAGGAAUACCGAUGGCGAAGGCAGCCCCCUGGGAUAAUACUGACGCUCAUGCACGAAAGCGUGGGGAGCAAAC